rnacentral:rRNA from 1 species
UACGUAGGGUGCAAGCGUUGUCCGGAAUUAUUGGGCGUAAAGAGUGUGUAGGCGGCCCGAUUAGUCCGCUGUGAAAGUCCAGGGCUCAACCCUGGAAUGCCGGUGGAUACUGUCGGGCUAGAGUCCGGAAGGGGCGAGUGGAAUUCCUGGUGUAGCGGUGAAAUGCGCAGAUAUCAGGAGGAACACCGAUGGCGAAGGCAGCUCGCUGGGACGUGACUGACGCUGAGACGCGAAAGCGUGGGGAGCAAACAGG